rnacentral:rRNA from 1 species
CCUACGGGAGGCAGCAGUGAGGAAUAUUGGUCAAUGGACGAGAGUCUGAACCAGCCAAGUAGCGUGAAGGAUGACUGCCCUAUGGGUUGUAAACUUCUUUUAUCUGGGAAUAAAAUGUUCCACGUGUGGGAUUUUGUAUGUACCAUAUGAAUAAGGAUCGGCUAACUCCGUGCCAGCAGCCGCGGUAAUACGGAGGAUCCGAGCGUUAUCCGGAUUUAUUGGGUUUAAAGGGAGCGUAGGUGGAUUGUUAAGUCAGUUGUGAAAGUUUGCGGCUCAACCGUAAAAUUGCAGUUGAAACUGGCAGUCUUGAGUACAGGAGAGGUGGGCGGAAUGCGGGGUGUAGCGGUGAAAUGCUUAGAUAUCACGAAGAACUCCGAUUGCGAAGGCAGUUCACUGGACUGCAACUGACACUGAGGCUCGAAAGUGUGGGUAUCAAACAGGAUUAGAGACCCUGGUAGUC